rnacentral:rRNA from 1 species
UACAGAGGGGUGCAAGCGUUGUUCGGAAUUACUGGGCGUAAAGGGCGCGUAGGCGGCUCUGAUCGUCGGAUGUGGAAAGGACCUGGGGCUCAACCUGGGAAUGGCAUCCGAUACGGCGGGGGCUGGAGUGUGGGAGAGGUUGGUGGAAUUCCCAGUGUAGAGGUGAAAUUCGUAGAUAUUGGGAAGAACACCGGUGGCGAAGGCGGCUAUCUGGACCGACAUUGACGCUGAGGCGCGAAAGCGUGGGGAGCAAACAGG